UAAUUGGGCGUUAAGUUGCAGGGUAUAGACCCGAAACCCGGUGAUCUAGCCAUGGGCAGGUUGAAGGUUGGGUAACACUAACUGGAGGACCGAACCGACUAAUGUUGAAAAAUUAGCGGAUGACCUGUGGCUGGGGGUGAAAGGCCAAUCAAACCGGGAGAUAGCUGGUUCUCCCCGAAAGCUAUUUAGGUAGCGCCUCGUGAAUUCAUCUCCGGGGGUAGAGCACUGUUUCGGCUAGGGGGCCAUCCCGGCUUACCAACCCGAUGCAAACUGCGAAUACCGGAGAAUGUUAUCACGGGAGACACACGGCGGGUGCUAACGUCCGUCGUGAAGAGGGAAACAACCCAGACCGCCAGCUAAGGUCCCAAAGUCAUGGUUAAGUGGGAAACGAUGUGGGAAGGCCCAGACAGCCAGGAUGUUGGCUUAGAAGCAGCCAUCAUUUAAAGAAAGCGUAAUAGCUCACUGGUCGAGUCGGCCUGCGCGGAAGAUGUAACGGGGCUAAACCAUGCACCGAAGCUGCGGCAGCGAACGUAUCACCCAAGACAACUUUACGGAGUUGACGAUUGACGGAGCGAAGCGACGUCAAAGCGUUCAUUAAAGUCGAGUUGGCUUAGGGAUACGUUCGUUGGGUAGGGGAGCGUUCUGUAAGCCUGUGAAGGUGUGUCGUGAGGCAUGCUGGAGGUAUCAGAAGUGCGAAUGCUGACAUAAGUAACGAUAAAGCGGGUGAAAAGCCCGCUCGCCGGAAGACCAAGGGUUCCUGUCCAACGUUAAUCGGGGCAGGGUGAGUCGACCCCUAAGGCGAGGCCGAAAGGCGUAGUCGAUGGGAAACGGGUUAAUAUUCCCGUACUUGGUGUUACUGCGAAGGGGGGACGGAGAAGGCUAUGUUGGCCGGGCGACGGUUGUCCCGGUUUAAGCGUGUAGGUGUGUGUUCCAGGUAAAUCCGGUUCACUUUAACACUGAGGCGUGACGACGAGGCACUACGGUGCUGAAGCAACAAAUGCCCUGCUUCCAGGAAAAGCCUCUAAGCAUCAGGUAACAUCAAAUCGUACCCCAAACCGACACAGGUGGUCAGGUAGAGAAUACCAAGGCGCUUGAGAGAACUCGGGUGAAGGAACUAGGCAAAAUGGUGCCGUAACUUCGGGAGAAGGCACGCUGACACGUAGGUGAAGUGAUUUACUCAUGGAGCUGAAGUCAGUCGAAGAUACCAGCUGGCUGCAACUGUUUAUUAAAAACACAGCACUGUGCAAACACGAAAGUGGACGUAUACGGUGUGACGCCUGCCCGGUGCCGGAA
rnacentral:rRNA from 1 species